GCAGCUGUUAAGAUAAAACAUAUAAUGUAAUAUUAUUAUGAUGUUGAGCAACAAUAUAUACCACUAUAAAUUGUUAGAAAUGUUAAAGUAUGGGAAAUUUGGAACGAUUUACAAGGGAACUUAUUAUAACAACAACAAUUUAGCUAUUGAAAAAAUUUCUCUCGAUCAACGAAUGGAAAAGUUAACUAGAAUGUGCAAUGAAGUAUUAACCAAUCGGCAGUUUAAACAUCGAAAUAUUAAUACCAUCCUUCACUGCUUUGUUUAUGAGCAGUACGCAUAUUUGAUCUACCCAUAUAUGUGUUUUGGAGAUUGUGAAAUUCUGCUUCAAGAUGUAUAUACUUCUGGAUUCCCGGAGACUAUAUUAGCACUAAUUUUGAAGGAUGUUUUAUCAGCGCUUACAUACAUUCACUCUCAACAUUUUGUUCACGGAUCUAUAAGGGCAAAACAUAUACUUAUAAAUUCCAGAAAAGCUGUAGUAACCAAUUUUGGUGACUGUCAAAAUUUUAUUAAUAAUGGAAAACAAAAACCGUUUUUAAACGGAUUAUCGGUGGAAAAUAAGAAACAGUUGUAUUGGACGGCACCAGAAGUUUUAUAUCAAAACCUCUCUGGUUACACAGAAAAAAUAGACAUAUACUCCCUCGGAAUCACAUGUUGUGAAAUGGCAAAUGGGUUUCAACCUUUUAGAGACACUGAACUGACAUACAUGUAUAUUGAAAAAGUUCAUGGAGUUCUUCCUUUUUUACUGGAUAAAAAUAGUCUUAUGGCUAACCAUGGAUCAAUUUCAUUGCAUCAAACAAAUCAACGAUUUCCCCGCGAUUUAUUCAUGAGAAAAUCAUUUUCUGAUGACAUACACCAAUUUGUUGAGCUAUGCCUGAAUAAAAAUCCAAGAUCUCGAUGGGCUGCAUCAAAGUUAAUGACACACUCGUUUCUGAAGCAAUGCCGCCAAUCUAGUUUUUCAGAACUAUUCAAAGACUUUCGUUUUGAUUCGUCCACAUUUAAAUCUGAAGAACUUUCAGAUGAACCAUUUUGUGAUGCUGAAGUCAACCGAAUUAAGAACUAUGAUGAUACGAUAUGGAAUUUUUAAUAAAUUUAAUAAAUUGUGUGUUUUUCUGCGUCGCAACAUUCAAGUUGUUUCAGAUGAACCAUUUUGUGAUGCUGAAGUCAAACGAAUUAAGAACUAUGAUGAUACGAUAUGGAAUUUUUAAUAAAUUUAAUAAAUUGUAUGUUUUUCUGCGUCGCAACAUUCAAGUUGUUUCAGAUGAACCAUUUUGUGAUGCUGAAGUCAAACGAAUUAAGAACUAUGAUGAUACGAUAUGGAAUUUUUAAUAAAUUUAGUAAAUUGUGUGUUUUUCUGCGUCGCAACAUUCAAGUUGUUUCAGGUGAACCAUUUUGUGAUGCUGAAGUCAACCGAAUUAAGAACUAUGAUGAUACGAUAUGGAAUUUUUAAUAAAUUUAAUAAAUUGUGUGUUUUUCUGCGUCGCAACAUUCAAGUUGAUGUCAACCGAGUGAGCUGAGUUGAAUCUCUGGAUCUCUGGUCUGCAGUUAACAACCUAUUAGUUUGGUUGGGUUUUUUAAGCGAUGGACGAUGAAAUAUGAUAUACCUUAUAUAACUACAUUUUUAUCUACUCCCUUUUCCGUUCUAUUUUGUAAAUUUGCUCUCCAGUUUGGAAUUUCGAAUAUCAAGUACACGUUGACCGUAUACAGUAUAUUUAAAAUAAAUGUCUUGGAUUUGCA